GCUGGCGUAGCUCAGUCGGUAGAGCAGCGGUUUCGUAAAUCGCGGGUCGGAGGUUCAAUUCCUCUCGCCAGCUCCA
rnacentral:tRNA from 1 species